CGGCCCGCGUUAGAUUAGUUAGUUGGUGGGGUAAUGGCCUACCAAGACUACGAUCUAUAGCUGGUUUGAGAGGAUGAUCAGCAACACUGGGACUGAGACACGGCCCAGACUCCUACGGGAGGCAGCAGUGGGGAAUCUUAGACAAUGGGGGCAACCCUGAUCUAGCGAUGCCGCGUGAGUGAUGAAGGCCUUAGGGUCGUAAAGCUCUUUCGCCUGUGAUGAUAAUGACAGUAGCAGGUAAAGAAACCCCGGCUAACUCCGUGCCAGCAGCCGCGGUAAUACGGAGGGGGUUAGCGUUGUUCGGAAUUACUGGGCGUAAAGCGCACGUAGGCGGAUUAGUCAGUCAGAGGUGAAAUCCCAGGGCUCAACCCUGGAACUGCCUUUGAUACUGCUAGUCUUGAGUUCGAGAGAGGUAAGUGGAAUUCCGAGUGUAGAGGUGAAAUUCGUAGAUAUUCGGAGGAACACCAGUGGCGAAGGCGGCUUACUGGCUCGAUACUGACGCUGAGGUGCGAAAGUGUGGGGAGCAAACAGGAUUAGAUACCCUGGUAGUCCACACCGUAAACGAUGAAUGCCAGUCGUCGGGUAGCAUGCUAUUCGGUGACACACCUAACGGAUUAAGCAUUCCGCCUGGGGAGUACGGUCGCAAGAUUAAAACUCAAAGGAAUUGACGGGGGGCCCCGCACAAGCGGUGGGAGCAUGUGGUUUUAUUUCGAAAGCAAC
rnacentral:rRNA from 1 species